GAUGAAGAACGUAGCGAAAUGCGAUAAGUAGUGUGAAUUGCAGAAUUCAGUGAAUCAUCGAAUCUUUGAACGCACAUUGCGCCCCUUGGUAUUCCAUGGGGCAUGCCUGUUCGAGCGUCAUUUGUACCUUCAAGCUCUGCUUGGUGUUGGGUGUUUGUCUCGCCUCUGCGUGUAGACUCGCCUCAAAACAAUUGGCAGCCGGCGUAUUGAUUUCGGAGCGCAGUACAUCUCGCGCUUUGCACUCAUAACGACGACGUCCAAAAGUACAUUUUUACACUCGUGACCUCGGAUCAGGUAGGGAUACCCGCUGAACUUAAGCAUAUCAAUAAGCGGAGGA
rnacentral:misc_RNA from 1 species